UACACUAUUGGAAUGACAACUAUUCGAUAAAACUAUUUGAUUAACUAUUCGAAUGAAAACUAUUCGAUAAAACUAUUCGAUAAACUAUUCGAAUAGUUUUAAAGCUAUCGAAUACAUGGUGACUAUUCGAAUGUUCGAUAAUUAUGGAAUUACUAUCGAAUAGUUCGAAUAGUGAACUACUAUCGAAUAGUUCGAUAGUGACUAUUCGAUAGUUCCCAUCACUACUUAGUAGGUCCCAGUACCACAUAGUUUCUAAAGCUGCGAGUACUAUGAGUCCAUGUACUGAAAAAUCAACUCAGGAAACAAGACAAUUAAUUGGACCUACGUCAGGUACAACUGUCACUUCCUUUUCAAUAUUUUAGCUACUGCAUUUCUCUAAGUUUUGUUCUUGAAAUGCUUGUGUUGUAUAUAUUGUGAAUAUUGUUAUUCUUAAAAUAUACAAACGUUUGAUUCAAAUUAAUCAACAAUCAUUUCGAUCUUGGAAGCACGCAGGACACUUGGCUCGAUUAGUCUAGAUUCCUGCAUACUCCUCCAUUUCUCUCUGUACAAAAUUUCCUGAGGAUAACCUACGACCAAAUGAUGAAUACAGCAUUCGGGCUCUAGAUGCCGGGUGAACCCGUUGAAAUUGAUCCAACUCCUAAUGAAUUCUUUCAUAUAUAAGCCCCCAAUAGUCCAUGAAGAGCCUUGGCUUAUAUGCCCACAUUACGCUCGCUUCUAUGAGUAUGGAUUCUCGGAUAUUACUCCAUUUUACUUUGUACAUAGUUUUCCUUGAUUGUUUUUCAACCAUAUGGUUGGUAAAUCAACUUUGCAAACGAUGGAAAUCAUUGGCCCUACGUCAGGUACCACUGUCACUUCCUCUUCGAUAUGGUAGCUAUUGCAUUUCUCUGUGUUUUCUUCUUGAAAUGCUUGUGUUGUAUAUAUUGUGAGUAUUGUUGUUAUUAAAAUAUACAAGCCAAUGGAAAAUAUUAGCUUAGUUAAGAGUUCCUUUUGACGUUCGACUCAAUGUAGUCAACAACCAUUCCAAUAUUCUAAGCACGCAGGACACUUGCCCCGAUUAGUCUAGAUUCCUGCAUACUCCUCCAUUUCACUCGGUAUAAAAUUUCCUGUGGAUAACCUACGACCAAAUGAUGAAUACAGCAUUCGGGCUCUAGAUGCCGGGUGAACCCGUUGAAAUUGAUCCCACUCCUUAUGAACUCUUUCAUAUAUAAGCCCCCCGAUAGUCCAUGAUGAGCCUUGGCUUAUAUGCCCACAUUACGCUCGCUUCUAUGAGUAUGGGUUCUAGGAUAUUACUCCAUUUUACUUUGUACAUAGUUUUCCUUGAUUGUUUUUCAACCAUAUGGUUGGUAAAUCAACUGUGCAAACGAUCGAAAUCAUUGGCCCUACGUCAGGUACAACUGUCAUGUGUUGUAUAUAUUGUGAGUAUUGUUGUUAUUAAAAUAUACAAGCCAAGAGUUCCUUUUGACGUUCGACUCAAUGUAGUCAACAAGCAUUCCAAUAUUCUAAGCACGAAGGACACUUGCCCCGAUUAGUCUAGAUUCCUGCAUACUCCUUCAUUUCACUCGGUACAAAAUUUCCUGUGGAUAACCUACGACCAAAUGAUGAAUACAGCAUUCGGGCUCUAGAUGCCGUGUGAACCCGUUGAAAUUGAUCCCACUCCUUAUGAACUCUUUCAUAUAUACGCCCCACAAUAGUCCAUGAAGAGCCUUGGCUUAUAUGCCCACAUUACGCUCGCUUCUAUGAAUAUGGGUUCUCGGAUAUUACUCCAUUUUACUUUGUACAUAGUUUUCCUUGAUUCUUUUUCAACCAUAUGGUUGGUAAAUCAACUGUGCAAACGAUCGAAAUCAUUGGCCCUACGUCAGGUACAACUGUCAUGUGUUGUAUAUAUUGUGAGUAUUGUUGUUAUUAAAAUAUACAAGCCAAGAGUUCCUUUUGACGUUCGACUCAAUGUAGUCAACAAGCAUUCCAAUAUUCUAAGCACGAAGGACACUUGCCCCGAUUAGUCUAGAUUCCUGCAUACUCCUUCAUUUCACUCGGUACAAAAUUUCCUGUGGAUAACCUACGACCAAAUGAUGAAUACAGCAUUCGGGCUCUAGAUGCCGUGUGAACCCGUUGAAAUUGAUCCCACUCCUUAUGAACUCUUUCAUAUAUACGCCCCACAAUAGUCCAUGAAGAGCCUUGGCUUAUAUGCCCACAUUACGCUCGCUUCUAUGAAUAUGGGUUCUCGGAUAUAACUCCAUUUUACUUUGUACAUAGUUUUCCUUGAUUGUUUUUCAACCAUAUGGUUGGUAAAUCAACUGUGCAAACGAUCGAAAUCAUUGGCCCUACGUCAGGUACCACUGUCACUUCCUCUUCAAUAUUAUAGCUAUUGCAUUUCUCUGUGUUUUGUUCUUAAAAUGCUUGUGUUGAAAAUUAUAUUUAUAUUUUUUUAUUCAAAAUUCGUACUUUUGAAGGUUUCUUCGUAGUCCUCCUCACUUAGUAGGUCCCAGUACCACAUAGUUUCUAAAGCUGCGAGUACUAUGAGUCUAUGUACUGAAAAAUCAACUCAGGAAACAAGACAAAUAAUUGGACCUACGUCAGGUACAACUGUCACUUCCUUUUCAAUAUUUUAGCUACUGCAUUUCUCUAAGUUUUGUUCUUGAAAGGCUUGUGUUGUAUAUAUUGUGAGUAUUGUUGUUAUUAAAAUAUACAGGCCAAUGGAAAAUAUUAGCUUAGUUAAGAGUUCCUUUUGACGUUCGACUCAAUGUAGUCAACAACCAUUCCUAUAUUCUAAGCACGCAGGACACUUGCCCCGAUUAGUCUAGAUUCCUGCAUACUCCUCCAUUUCACUCGGUACAAAAUUUCCUGUGGAUAACCUACGCCUAAAUGAUCAAUACAGCUUUCGGGCAUUAGAUGCCGGAUGAAUCCGUUGAAAUUGAUCCCACUCCUAAUAAUAUACUACUUAUAUACGCCACCCAAUAGUCCAUUAUGAGCCUUGGCCUAUAUGCCCAGAUUACGCUCGCUUCUAUGAGCAUUCGUUCUCGAUUAUUACUCCAUUUUACUUUGUACAUAAUUUUCCUUGAUUGUUUUUCAAUCAUAUGGUUGGUAAAUCAACUGUGCAAACGAUGGAAAUCAUUGGCCCUACGUCAGGUACCACUGUCACUUCCUCUUCGAUAAUUUAGCUACUGCAUUACUCUGUGUUUUGUUCUUAAAAUGCUUGUGUUGAAAAUUAUAUUUAUAUUUUUUUAUUCAAAAUUCGUACUUUUGAAGGUUUCUUCGUAGUCGUCCUCAAUUAGUAGGUCCCAGUACCACAUAGUUUAUAAAGCUGCGAGUACUAUGAGACUAUGUACUGAAAAAUCAACUCAGGAAACAAGACAAUUAAUUGGACCUACGUCAGGUACAACUGUCACUUCCUUUUCAAUAUUUUAGCUACUGCAUUUCUCUAAGUUUUGUUCUUGAAAUGCUUGUGUUGUAUAUAUUGUGAAUAUUGUUAUUCUUAAAAUAUACAAACGUUUGAUUCAAAUUAAUCAACAAUCAUUUCGAUCUUGGAAGCACGCAGGACACUUGGCUCGAUUAGUCUAGAUUCCUGCAUACUCCUCCAUUUCUCUCUGUACAAAAUUUCCUGUGGAUAACCUACGACCAAAUGAUGAAUACAGCAUUCGGGCUCUAGAUGCCGGGUGAACCCGUUGAAAUUGAUCCCACUCCUAAUGAACUCUUUCAUAUAUAAGCCCCCCAAUAGUCCAUGAAGAGCCUUGGCUUAUAUGCCCACAUUACGCUCACUUCUAUGAGUAUGGGUUCUCGGAUAUGACUCCAUUUUACUUUGUACAUAGUUUUCCUUGAUUGUUUUUCAACCAUAUGGUUGGUAAAUCAACUGUGCAAACGAUGGAAAUCAUUGGCCCUACGUCAGGUACCACUGUCACUUCCUCUUCGAUAUGAUAGCUAUUGCAUUUCUCUGUGUUUGUUCUUGAAAUGCUUGUGUUGAUUACAUUGUGAGUAUUGUUGUUAUUAAAAUAUACAAACCAAUGGAAAAUAUUAGCGUAGUUAAGAGUUCCUUUUGACGUUCGACUCAAAGUAGUCAACAACAAUUUCGAUAUUGUAAGCACGCAGGAUACUUGCCUCGAUUACUCUAGAUUCCUGAAUAUUCCUCCAUUUCACUCGGUACAAAAUUUCCUGUGGAUAACCUACGACCAAAUGAUGAAUACAGCAUUCGGGCUCUAGAUGCCAGGUGAACCCGUUGAAAUUGAUCCCACUCCUUAUGAACUCUUUCAUAUAUACGCCCUCCGAUAGUCCAUGAAGAGCCUUGGCUUAUAUGCCCACAUUACGCUCGCUUCUAUGAGUAUGGGUUCUCGGAUAUUACUCCAUUUUACUUUGUACAUAGUUUUCCUUGAUUGUUUUUCAACCAUAUGGUUGGUAAAUCAACUGUGCAAACGAUGGAAAUCAUUGGCCCUACGUCAGGUACCACUGUCACUUCCUCUUCGAUAAUUUAGCUACUGCAUUUCUCUGUGCUUUGUUCUUAAAAUGCUUGUGUUGUAUAUAUUGUGAAUAUUGUUAUUCUUAAAAUAUACAAACGUUUGAUUCAAAUUAAACAACAAUCAUUUCGAUCUUGUAAGCACGCAGGACACUUGGCUCGAUUAGUCUAGAUUCCUGCAUACUCCUCCAUUUCUCUCUGUACAAAAUUUCCUGUGGAUAACCUACGACCAAAUGAUGAAUACAGCAUUCGGGCUCUAGAUGCCGGGUGAACCCGUUGAAAUUUAUCCCACUCCUAAUGAAUUCUUUAAUAUAUAAGCCCCCCAAUAGUCCAUGAAGAGCCUUGGCUUAUAUGCCCACAUUACGCUCGCUUCUAUGAGUAUGGGUUCUCGGAUAUUACUCCAUUUUACUUUGUACAUAGUUUUCCUUGAUUGUUUUUCAACCAUAUGGUUGGUAAAUCAACUGUGCAAACGAUGGAAAUCAUUGGCCUUACGUCAGGUACCACUGUCACUUCCUCUUCGAUAUGGUAGCUAUUGCAUUUCUCUGUGUUUUUUCUUGAAAUGCUUGUGUUGAGAAUUAUAUUUAUAUUUUUUUAUUCAAAAUUCGUACUUUCGGAGGUUUCUUCGUAGGCUUCCUCACUUAGUAUGUCCCAGUACCACAGAGUUUCUAAAGCUGCGAGUACUAUGAGUCGAAGUACUGAAAAAUAAACUCAGGGAACAAGAAAAAUCAUUGGCCCUACGUCAGGUACCACUGUCACUUCCUCUUCGAUAAUUUAGCUACUGCAUUUCUCUGUGUUUUGUUCUUGAAAUGCUUGUGUUGAUUACAUUGUGAGUAUUGUUGUUAUUAAAAUAUACAAACCAAUGGAAAAUAUUAGCGUAGUUAAGAGUUCCUUUUGACGUUCGACUCAAAGUAGUCAACAACCAUUUCGAUAUUGUAAGCACGCAGGAUACUUGCCUCGAUUACUCUAGAUUCCUGAAUAUUCCUCCAUUUCACUCGGUACAAAAUUUCCUGUGGAUAACCUAC
rnacentral:lncRNA from 1 species